rnacentral:rRNA from 1 species
UACGGAGGAUGCAAGCGUUAUCCGGAAUGAUUGGGCGUAAAGCGUCCGCAGGUGGCAAUGUAAGUCUGCUGUUAAAGAGUCUAGCUCAACUAGAUAAGAGCAGUGGAAACUACAUAGCUAGAGUACGUUCGGGGCAGAGGGAAUUCCAGGUGUAGCGGUGAAAUGCGUAGAUAUCUGGAAGAACACCAGUGGCGAAGGCGCUCUACUGGGCCGUAACUGACACUGAGGGACGAAAGCUAGGGGAGCGAAAGGG